rnacentral:rRNA from 1 species
UACGGGGGGAGCAAGCGUUGUUCGGAUUUACUGGGCGUAAAGGGCGCGUAGGCGGUCAGCACAAGUCAGUUGUGAAAUCUCCGGGCUUAACUCGGAAAGGUCAACUGAUACUGUGCGACUAGAGUGCAGAAGGGGCAACUGGAAUUCUCGGUGUAGCGGUGAAAUGCGUAGAUAUCGGGAGGAACACCGGUGGCGAAGGCGGCUCUCUGGACCACUACUGACGCUGAGGCGCGAAAGCUAGGGGAGCAAACAGG